AUUGAACGCUGGCGGCAUGCCUUACACAUGCAAGUCGAACGGUAACGGGCCUUCGGGUGCCGACGAGUGGCGAACGGGUGAGUAAUAUAUCGGAACGUACCUUUCGGUGGGGGAUAACGUAGCGAAAGUUACGCUAAUACCGCAUAUUCUGUGCGCAGGAAAGCAGGGGACCUUCGGGCCUUGCGCUGAUUGAGCGGCCGAUAUCAGAUUAGCUAGUUGGUGAGGUAAAGGCUCACCAAGGCGACGAUCUGCAGCGGGUCUGAGAGGAUGAUCCGCCACACUGGAACUGAGACACGGUCCAGACUCCUACGGGAGGCAGCAGUGGGGAAUUUUGGACAAUGGGGGCAACCCUGAUCCAGCCAUGCCGCGUGAGUGAAGAAGGCCUUCGGGUUGUAAAGCUCUUUCGGCCGGGAAGAAAUCGUAUGGGCUAAUACCCUGUGCGGAUGACGGUACCGGCAUAAGAAGCACCGGCUAACUACGUGCCAGCCGCCGCCGUAA
rnacentral:rRNA from 1 species